rnacentral:tRNA from 1 species
GCCGAGGUGGCACAACCUGGUACUGCGCAAGAUUUCAUAAUGCGAACCUGGAAACUAGGUUAGAGAGCUUGUGCCCGCAAGGGCUUGAGGGUUCAAAUCCCUCCUUCGGCG